CUAUAGUCAGCGGUUAGUUACCAGUCUUUCUACGGUCAGCGGUCAGUUACCAGUCUUUCUAUAGUCUGUGGUCUGAUACUGGUCUUUCUAUAGUCUGCGGUCUGUUACUGGUCUUUCUACGGUUAUAGAUCAGUUACCGAUCUUUCUACAAUGAGAGGUCAGUUACAAGUCUUUCUAUAGUCAGGGGUCAGUUACCGGUCU